AAGGCUGUAGUUCAAUUAGAAGAAUGCAUGCUUGGCAAGCAGGAGGAUGCCAGUGCAAAUCUGGCCAGUCUGG
rnacentral:tRNA from 1 species